rnacentral:rRNA from 1 species
UCUGACUUGAGUNCAGAAGGGGAGAGUGGAAUNCCAUGUGUAGCGGUGAAAUGCGUAGAUAUAUGGAGGAACACCAGUGGCGAAAGCGGCUCUCUGNUCUGUCACUGACGCUGAGGCUCGAAAGCGUGGGUAGCGANCAGGAUUAGAUACCCUGGUAGUCCACGCCGUAAACGAUGAGUGCUAGGUGUUAGGCCCUUUCCGGGGCUUAGUGCCGGAGCUAACGCAAUAAGCACUCCGCCUGGGGAGUACGACCGCAAGGUUGAAACUCAAAGGAAUUGACGGGGGCCCGCACAAGCGGUGGAGCAUGUGGUUUAAUUCGAAGCGACGCGAAGAACCUUACCAGGUCUUGACAUCCCGAUGCUAUUCUUAGAGAUAGGAAGUUACUUCGGUACAUCGGAGACAGGUGGUGCAUGGUUGUCGUCAGCUCGUGUCGUGAGAUGUUGGGUUAAGUCCCGCAACGAGCGCAACCCUUAUUGUUAGUUGCCAUCAUUAAGUUGGGCACUCUAGCGAGACUGCCGGUAAUAAACCGGAGGAAGGUGGGGAUGACGUCAAAUCAUCAUGCCCCUUAUGACCUGGGCUACACACGUGCUACAAUGGUCGGUACAACGAGUUGCGAGCCGGUGACGGCAAGCUAAUCUCUGAAAGCCGAUCUCAGUUCGGAUUGGAGGCUGCAACUCGCCUCCAUGAAGUCGGAAUCGCUAGUAAUCGCGGAUCAGCACGCCGCGGUGAAUACGUUCCCGGGCCUUGUACACACCGCCCGUCACACCACGAGAGUUUGUAACACC